AUUACAAGUCCAAAAUAAACCCUUUAGUUUUGGGCUUAUCCAAAAGCUGACCAUAAUUAAAUAGACAUGGGCAGCCCAUGAUUUUAAGACCCAAAUGACAAUCCUAAACAACCAUCCAUGCAUAGAGUGACUUUCUUGAAGAUCGGUGAAUUCUCAAGAAAGUAACUCAUUA
rnacentral:sRNA from 1 species